AACGGCGAGUGAAGCGGCAAGAGCUCAAAUUUGAAAUCUGGCCUCCUUCGGGGGUCCGAGUUGUAAUUUGUAGAGGAUGCUUCGGGUGUGGCCGCCGUCUAAGUUCCUUGGAACAGGACGUCAGAGAGGGUGAGAAUCCCGUCUUGGGCGGCCGGUCCGCGCCCGUGUGAAGCUCCUUCGACGAGUCGAGUUGUUUGGGAAUGCAGCUCUAAGCGGGUGGUAAAUUUCAUCUAAAGCUAAAUACUGGUCGGAGACCGAUAGCGCACAAGUAGAGUGAUCGAAAGGUUAAAAGCACCUUGAAAAGGGAGUUAAACAGCACGUGAAAUUGUUGAAAGGGAAGCGCUUGCGGCCAGACUCGGGGGCGGGGUUCAGCGGGCGCUCGUCGCCCGUGUACUCCCCGUCUCCCGGGCCAGCAUCAGUUUCGACGGCCGGUCAAAGGCCCCCGGAAUGUGUCGUCUCUCGGGACGUCUUAUAGCCGGGGGUGCAAUGCGGCCCGUCGGGACUGAGGAACGCGCUCCGGCUCGGAUGCUGGCGUAAUGGCCGUAAGCGGCCCGUCUUGAAACACGGACCAAGGAGUCUAACAUCCACGCGAGUGUUCGGGUGUCAAACCCGUGCGCGCAGUGAAAGCGAACGGAGGUGGGAGCCUUAGGGCGCACCAUCGACCGAUCCUGAAGUCUUCGGAUGGAUUUGAGUAGGAGCGUGGCCGUUGGGACCCGAAAGAUGGUGAACUAUGCCUGAAUAGGGUGAAGCCAGAGGAAACUCUGGUGGAGGCUCGCAGCGGUUCUGACGUGCAAAUCGAUCGUCAAAUUU
rnacentral:rRNA from 1 species